rnacentral:rRNA from 1 species
AAUGAACGCUGGCGGCAGGCCUAAAACAUGCAAGUCGAACGCUCUAGCAAUAGAGAGUGGCGCACGGGUGAGUAACACGUGGGAAUAUGCCUUUUGGUACGGAACAACGUCUGGAAACGGACGCUAAUACCGUAUAGUCCCUCCGGGGUAAAGAUUUAUCGCCAAAAGAUUAGCCCGCGUCUGAUUAGCUAGUUGGUAAGGUAAUGGCCCACCAAGGCGACGAUCAGUAGCUGGUCUGAGAGGACGAUCAGCCACACUGGGACUGAGACACGGCCCAGACUCCUACGGGAGGCAGCAGUAAGGAAGAUUGGACAAUGGGGGAAACCCUGAUCCAGCCAUGCCGCGUGAGUGACGAAGGCCUUAGGGUUGUAAAGCUCUUUUGGUGGGGAAGAUAAUGACUGUACCCACAGAAUAAGCCCCGGCUAAAUUCGUGCCAGCAGCCGCAGUAAUAC